rnacentral:rRNA from 1 species
CAAUAGCGUAUAUUAAAGUUGUUGCAGUUAGAACGCUCGUAGUCGGAUUUCGGGGCGGGUCGACCGGUCUGCCGAUGGGUACGCACUGGCCGACGCGUCCUUCCUUCCGGAGACCGUUCCUACUCUUAACUGAGCGGGGGCGGGAGACGGAACGUUUACUUUGAAAAAAUCAGAGUGUUUCAAGCAGGCAUCUCGCUCUUGCAUGGAUUAGCAUGGGAUAAUGAAAUAGGACUUUGGUGCUAUUUUGUUGGUUUCGAACACCGAAGUAAUGAUGAGAAGGGACAGUCAGGGGCACUCGUAUUCCGCCGAGAGAGGUGAAAUUCUCAGACCAGCGGAAGACGAACCACUGCGAAAGCAUUUGCCAGGGAUGUUUNCACUG